rnacentral:rRNA from 1 species
UACGGGGGAUGCAAGCGUUAUCCGGAUUUAUCGGGUUUAAAGGGUGCGUAGGCUGUGAGGUAAGUCAGCGGUGAAAUGCCCCCGCUCAACGGGGUGAAGUGCCAUUGAUACUGCCUUGCUGGAAUGCGGAUGCCGUGGGAGGAAUGUGUGGUGUAGCGGUGAAAUGCAUAGAUAUCACACAGAACACCGAUUGCGAAGGCAUCUCACGAAUCCGCGAUUGACGCUGAUGCACGAAAGCGUGGGGAGCAAACAGG